UGCACUGUGCUUGAUACAGAGAAAGGUC
rnacentral:piRNA from 1 species